AACGAACGCUGGCGGCAGGCCUAACACAUGCAGGUCGAGCGCCCCGCAAGGGGAGCGGCGGACGGGUGAGUAACGCGUGGGAACGUGCCCUUUGCUACGGAAUAGCCCCGGGAAACUGGGAGUAAUACCGUAGAAGCCCUACGGGGGAAAGAUUUAUCGGCAAAGGAUCGGCCCGCGUUGGAUUAGGUAGUUGGUGGGGUAAUGGCCUACCAAGCCGACGAUCCAUAGCUGGUUUGAGAGGAUGAUCAGCCACACUGGGACUGAGACACGGCCCAGACUCCUACGGGAGGCAGCAGUGGGGAAUUUUAGACAAUGGGCGCAAGCCUGAUCUAGCCAUGCCGCGUGAGCGAUGAAGGCCUUAGGGUUGUAAAGCUCUUUCGUGGGGGAAGAUAAUGACUGUACCCCAAGAAGAAGCCCCGGCUAACUCCGUGCCAGCCGCCGCGGUAAUAC
rnacentral:rRNA from 1 species